rnacentral:tRNA from 1 species
GGUCAGAUGGCCGAGUGGUUAUGGCGCUAGUUUCAGGUACUAGUGGGUUAUUCCGCGUGGGUUCGAGUCCCACUCUGGUACG